UGCGGAAGGAUCAUUAUUGAAAUUAUAGGUGAGGGUUGUAGCUGGCCUCUCGGGGCAUGUGCACGCCCGAGCCCUUAAUCCACACACACCUGUGAACCUAUUGUAAGGGCCCUUAAAAAAGGCCUUUACGUCUUAUCAUCAACCCAUCGUAUGUCUCAUAGAAUGUAAAUAUAUGUCCUCGCCUUAAAAAGCGUUGAUAAACUUAUACAACUUUCAACAACGGAUCUCUUGGCUCUCGCAUCGAUGAAGAACGCAGCGAAAUGCGAUAAGUAAUGUGAAUUGCAGAUUUUCAGUGAAUCAUCGAAUCUUUGAACGCACCUUGCGCUCCUUGGUAUUCCGAGGAGCAUGCCUGUUUGAGUGUCAUUAAAUUCUCAACUCUGAUCGAUUUGUUUCGACUUCGGAGCUUGGAUUUGGAGCGUGCUGGCGUCGGUCGGCUCCUCUUAAAUGCGUCAGCGGAAUCUAACGUUUCGGACGUCAGUGUGAUAAUCAUGUUGCGCUGUCUGUCUGAUCCGAAAGCCCGCUCAC
rnacentral:rRNA from 1 species